AGAAUCAACGCUGGCGGCGUGCCUAACACAUGCAAGUCGCACGAGAAAGUGGAGCAAUCCACGAGUAAAGUGGCGCACGGGUGAGUAACACGUGAAUAAUCUACCUCCGAGUGGGGAAUAACUGAGAGAAAUCUUAGCUAAUACCGCAUAAUACCCACGGGUCAAAGCAGCAAUGCGCUUGGAGAGGAGUUCGCGGCCGAUUAGUUAGUUGGCGGGGUAAUGGCCACCAAGACGAUGAUCGGUA
rnacentral:rRNA from 1 species